rnacentral:tRNA from 1 species
AAAAAUCCGUUGGCUUUAUUGACCGUGAGGGUUCAAGUCCCUCUACCCGC